rnacentral:lncRNA from 1 species
GAGAAGUUAACUGUUAUUUUGAACUCUGAAUCUCAUAUAGACCAGUGUUCACUUUAUCUUACUCUCUCUCUCUCCUCUCUCUCACUCUCUGUCUCUGAAAUUUCUUCAGAUUUUUUAUUUGUUUCUGGUGCUCUUACUUUUCACAAUGUUGGAACUUAUUGAUGGUUCUGUCUGUGUCUAUUGGGCUGGACAUGCUUUAGGAUCUUUUAUAACCUGUACUCAGUUUGAGUAGUUUCUUGGGUUGAUUCCGUUUUGAUUUUCUCAUUUCUUUGGAAAUUUAUAAUUUUAAAAUUUUGGACCACUGAGAACAUUUUUAAAUUGUCUUAAUCUAACUUUCCACUUCUAUUCUUUUGCCUAUUCUUCUUAGAUAAUUUUUACACUUUAUUUUCAAGCCCUUCUAUUAAUAUUUUUAUUUCUGCUGUGUUAUUUCUAAGACUUACAGAUUUUAUAAUGCUAUUUUUUAGCAUCUCUCCUAUUUUGUGGAUAUGUCAUCUUUUCUCUCUGAAUAUGAUAAUGAGGCUUUCAUUUGUUUUCUAAGUUUUUAUAUCCCUAGGUAUUUACUGUUUUGAUAAUUUUUUCUUCCCUGUUUGUUUGCUUUGCUUUUUUCUUCCAAGAUAAAGCCUGGAAGCUGCACGUCACCUGCCAGCUUUGUGUGUGCCCAGUGAGUGCAGGUGGCAUAAUGACCAGCGGUGACUUGAAUGACAAGGGGACAGAACAGCUGGACAAUCCAAUUCCUAGAUGCUUUCUCCAGUUAUGGCCCUGACUGGGAUCUCCGAAGAAUGACUCAGCUGAAACUAUUUCAUCAUUGCCUACAUUUGUCUUCAGACGACCUGCAGUACAAACUUGGCUUAAACCUGCAGUUGACAAUGGAUUCACCGUGGGAGAAUAAAUUACAAUGGAUAAAAAACAGCAUUACAAUCCCUCAAUAAAAUGGGAUUUUAACAGACAAAGGCCUCUGAUGGGGCAAACAUACAGUGGGAAGCAUUCCCUUAGAGAAGUAACUUCAGAUCUGCUUUUGUGAUACUUAAAGACUGUGAAAGAUAAUCUUAAAGAGGCACUCACGAAACACAAGCUCCUUCUCCGGGAAAAAGAAUCAUCACCCUUGUUAUCCCAUGAAAAUUCAUCUUCUCCUUUUCAGCUGAUAUGAGGACUUGAUCUGUCCUUUCCUAUAAGUGCCAUCUGUGUUUAAAUGAGGCUGUUACUCUAACUCAAAGCAGACUUGCAAGAGUAAAAUAAUCAAUCUUCAUCAUAUUGCUGCACUUUCGACAGUUAAUUUUCUAGAGUAAUUUGUCAUUGUGAGGAGCAUAAGAUUUGUCUGAAUUUGUGUCAAAGGUUAUUGACUGAAUUGCCACCUCAUCUUUUCAGUCAAUCUAUAAAUAUGGGCAAGUUUGGGCAGAGGCUAAUGGCCUUCUCACUAAGGGGAUGAGAUUGUCCAAGUUAGGCAACUGAUAAGAGGUAGAAAUAUCUAUUGUGUCACCCAUUUCUUGUGGUAGCAUUGACUUAGAGUUAAUCUCAGAAACUUCACUUAACCUUCUUAAUCCUUUUCUUCCUGUAAAACAAGGCUAAAAAUUGUCAUAACUAUAUUCUAGUUUCCACAAAAGCUAAUCUAAGUAUUAAAAUUUUUAUUGUGACUUUG